CUCAAACGCUGCAUUAGGCUCAACGUUUACUUUCACUUUCCUGAACUUCGUGGAGUGGAGCUUGUUGUUGGUGUGUGAAGAAACUACUGACUGAAGUCCACAAGAAGCUGAUGAUGAAGGAAGAGGAGGACAAAGCAGAGUCUGCAGGAUUCAGUUGUCCCUCUGUGAGGAGUGACAGGUCCAAAGAUAGCAAUCCAUACUUCAGUGCUGAACCUGGACCAACGAGAGUGGACCAGCAGAGCUCAGAGGUUCCCAGUGGUCAGUCUGCCCAGCAGCAUCAAACACAGCUGGACUCCAUAUUUAUGGUCUGUACAUGUACAACAACUACUGUUACAUCUGUUCUGUUCACAGUCAUCUCCAUGCUGCUCUUUGUAGACCAGUGGAUUGUCAGUGUGUCCAACAUGGAUCUGAUGUUUGGCUCCAUGAUUUCAGUCUGAUUGGCUCAUUCAUAAAGUAU